rnacentral:rRNA from 1 species
UACGGGGGGGCGAGCGUUGUUCGGAAUCACUGGGCGUAAAGGGCGCGUAGGCGGCCCGCACAAGUCUGCGGUGAAAACCCCCGGCUUAACCGGGGGCCGGCCGUGGAAACUGUCGGGCUAGAGGCCGGGAGAGGGCAGCGGAAUUCCCGGUGUAGCGGUGAAAUGCGUAGAGAUCGGGAGGAACACCGGCGGCGAAGGCGGCUGCCUGGACCGGCCCUGACGCUGAGGCGCGAAAGCUAGGGGAGCAAACAGG